GACGAACGCUGGCGGCGUGCUUAACACAUGCAAGUCGAACGGAAAGGCCCUGCUUGCAGGGUACUCGAGUGGCGAACGGGUGAGUAACACGUGGGUGAUCUGCCCUGCACUUCGGGAUAAGCUUGGGAAACUGGGUCUAAUACCGGAUAGGAGCCAUCUUUAGUGUGGGGGUUGGAAAGUUUUUUCGGUGUAGGAUGAGCUCGCGGCCUAUCAGCUUGUUGGUGGGGUAAUGGCCUACCAAGGCGGCGACGGGUAGCCGGCCUGAGAGGGUGUACGGCCACAUUGGGACUGAGAUACGGCCCAGACUCCUACGGGAGGCAGCAAUGGGGAAUAUUGCACAAUGGGCGCAAGCCUGAUGCAGCGACGCCGCGUGGGGGAUGAAGGCCUUCGGGUUGUAAACUCCUUUCGCUAGGGACGAAGCUUUUUUGUGACGGUACCUAGAGAAGAAGCACCGGCUAACUACGUG
rnacentral:rRNA from 1 species